GUCUCUCUGACUAGCAAGGGAGAAGAAUGGGUGCCCGAGGUCUGUCCUCUACCAAGGACCUGGAAAACUUAGUGGACUGGAAAACCAAAAUAGUGGAACACGAGACAUAGUGAUGGGCACAACUGUGGACCACUAAGCCUAAAGGUCCAGUGUGACUCUUGUAAGAGUCAGGUAUGUGCCCUUCCUUCCAGAGGGAACCAAUGAAAACCUGAUUGAGAAGAGAGUACAGCUGCAACUGAAGUAGGAACAGGAGAAACAGCAAAAUGAGUGAAAGUGAAGUUACCAAAAAGCUGGUGCUCCACAGGUUGCAAGCAGAAGAAAAUGACUGACUGCAUGAGAGAGAUGGGAUUAAAAUAGAUGGAAAUUGACACAGAAGCAGCCAGGCAGAAAGCUGACCAUGAGAUGGCCCUGGAACUGAGAGACAAAGAAAUGAAGCAUGAAUUGGCCAUAAUGGAGUGGAGGAGACAGAACCUCCCACCAGGGGGCUCCACCUCUCCAAAAAUCCACAAGUGGGAGUGGUUGUGUCCAGCAUAUAGGGAA